rnacentral:lncRNA from 1 species
AUGCUCCGUUCCCAGUACCGGAGGUCACCGGUGCUCCCCGUACUGGGAUGCUCCGUUCCCAGUACCGGGGUCACUGGGAUGCUCCGUUCCCAGUACUGGGGUCACUGGGAUGCUCCAUUCCCAGUACCGGGGGUCACCGGUGCUCCCCGUUCCCAGUUCCCAAGGUCACUGGGAUUCCCCAUUCCCGUUCCCGGGGGUCACCGGGAUUCCCUGUUCCCGUUACCGGGGUCACUGGUGUUCCCCAUUCCCGGUACCGGGGGUCACCGGGAUUCCCUGUUCCCGUUACCGGGGUCACUGGUGUUCCCCAUUCCCGUUACCGGGGGUCACCAGGAUUCCCUGUUCCCGUUACCGGGGUCACUGGUGUUCCCCAUUCCCGGUACCGGGAGUCACCGGGAUUUCCUGUUACCGGGGAUCACCGGUGUUCCCCGUUCCCGGGGUCACCAGGAUUUCCCGUUAAUGGGGAUCACCGGUGUUCCCCGUUCUCGGUACCGGGGGUCACUGGUGUUCCCUAUUCCCGUUACCGGAGAUCACAGGGAUUCCCCGUUCCCGCUGUCACCGGUGUUCCCCGUUCCCGUUCCCGGGAUCACCGGUGUUCCCUGUUCCCGUUACCGGGAGUUCACCGGUGCUCCCCGUUCCCGUUCCCGGGGUCACCGGUGUUCCCUGUUCCUGUUACUGGGAGUCACCGGUGUUCCCCGUUCCCGGGGUCACCGGUGUUCCCUGUUCCCGUUACCGGGAGUCACCGGUGUUCCCCGUUCCCGUUCCCGGGAGUCACCGGUGUUCCCUGUUCCCGUUCCCGGGGUCACCGGUGCUCCCCGUUCCCGUUCCCCCGCCCGCCGCCAGGGGUCGCUGCCGCGCGGGGCGGGUCCCGCGCCGCCGCCCCCCCCCCCCCCCCCCCCCCCCCCCCCCCCCCCCCCCCCCCCCCCCCCCCCCCCGGGGUCGCCGGGAUUCCCUGUUCCCGUUACCGGGGUCACUGGUGUUCCCCAUUCCCGGUACCGGGGGUCACCGGGAUUCCCUGUUCCCGUUACCGGGGUCACUGGUGUUCCCCAUUCCCGUUACCGGGGGUCACCAGGAUUCCCUGUUCCCGUUACCGGGGUCACUGGUGUUCCCCAUUCCCGGUACCGGGAGUCACCGGGAUUUCCUGUUACCGGGGAUCACCGGUGUUCCCCGUUCCCGGGGUCACCAGGAUUUCCCGUUAAUGGGGAUCACCGGUGUUCCCCGUUCUCGGUACCGGGGGUCACUGGUGUUCCCUAUUCCCGUUACCGGAGAUCACAGGGAUUCCCCGUUCCCGCUGUCACCGGUGUUCCCCGUUCCCGUUCCCGGGAUCACCGGUGUUCCCUGUUCCCGUUACCGGGAGUUCACCGGUGCUCCCCGUUCCCGUUCCCGGGGUCACCGGUGUUCCCUGUUCCUGUUACUGGGAGUCACCGGUGUUCCCCGUUCCCGGGGUCACCGGUGUUCCCUGUUCCUGUUACUGGGAGUCACCGGUGUUCCCCGUUCCCGGGGUCACCGGUGUUCCCUGUUCCUGUUACUGGGAGUCACCGGUGUUCCCCGUUCCCGGGGUCACCGGUGUUCCCUGUUCCCGUUACCGGGAGUCCCCCCCCCCCCCCCCCCCCCCCCCCCCCCCCCCCCCCCCCCCCCCCCCCCCCC